UAGUCCACGCCGUAAACGAUGAUCACUCGUUGUGUAUCAAAUUAAUGGUACGUGACCGAGCGAAAGCAUUAAGUGAUCCACCUGGGGAGUACGUUCGCAAGAAUGGAACUCAAAGGAAUUGACGGGGGCCCGCACAAGCGGAGGAACAUGUGGUUUAAUUCGAUGAUACGCGAGGAACCUUACCUGGGCUUAAAUGUAGAGCGACUUUUGCCGAAAGGCAUUUUCCCUUCGGGGCGAUCUACAAGGUGCUGCAUGGUUGUCGUCAGCUCGUGCCGUGAGGUGUCGGGUCAAGUCCCAUAACGAGCGCAACCCUCAUCGUUAGUUACCAGCGGGUCAUGCCGGGGACUCUAACGAGACUGCCACCGUAAGGUGAGAGGAAGGUGGGGAUGACGUCAAAUCAGCACGGCCCUUAUGUCCAGGGCUACACACGUGUUACAAUGGUUAGUACAAAGGGAAGCUACCUGGCAACAGGAUGCAAAUCUCUAAAGCUGAUCUCAGUUCGGAUCGGAGU
rnacentral:rRNA from 1 species